UAGAUACCCUAGUAUUAAUAUUGAUUUUAAUUAGUAAGUAAAUAAAAAUUAAAAAUUUUGGCGGUUAUUUUUGAAUUUAGAGAAGCUUGUCAGUAAUAAGUAAUUACUCUAUAGAUUUUAGUUAAAUAAAAAAGUUCAUUCAUCUCCAUUAUUAAAGUAGAUUAAUUUAAUUAAUUGAAGUAGGUCAAGAUGUGAUAAAUUUUAAUUUAGGAUUAGCUGUGGUAUAUAAAUAUAAAUUAUUUUUAAGGAGAUUUUAAAAAAAUUAAUUUAAUUGUAAUAGUAAUUAGAAAAUUAUUAUGAAUUUUUAAAAUAGUGUAUAGAUUGCCCGUCACUUCUGUCGUUAAGAUGGAAUAAGUCGUAACAAA
rnacentral:rRNA from 1 species